rnacentral:rRNA from 1 species
CAGCACCUCAAGUGGUCAGGAUGAUUAUUGGGCCUAAAGCAUCCGUAGCCGGCUCUGUAAGUUUUCGGUUAAAUCUGUACGCUCAACGUACAGGCUGCCGGGAAUACUGCAGAGCUAGGGAGUGGGAGAGGUAGACGGUACUCGGUAGGAAGGGGUAAAAUCCUUUGAUCUAUUGAUGACCACCUGUGGCGAAGGCGGUCUACCAGAACACGUCCGACGGUGCGGGAUGAAAGCUGGGGGAGCAAACCGGAUUAGAUACCCGAGUAGUCC